rnacentral:rRNA from 1 species
UACAGAGGGUGCGAGCGUUAAUCGGAAUUACUGAGCGUAAAGCGCGCGGUAGGCGGCUUUGCAAGUCGGGUGUGAAAUCCCCAGGCUUAACCUGGGAACUGCAUUCGAGACUGCAUUGCUAGAGUAUGGGAGAGGGAAGUGGAAUUUCCGGUGUAGCGGUGAAAUGCGUAGAUAUCGGAAGGAACAUCAGUGGCGGAAAGCGGGUAGCUGGGCCGACACUGACG